UAACAAAGAGGAUGCCUUUUGAAAUAACUCUUAAUCUUCUAGAAAAUCACUACCUUGGGCUGCCUCUUAUCUUUACGUGUCUCUCCAGGGGAGCAGGCGGACCUGGUUUUGUGUUCUUCGACCCCGUGGGCCAGGCGCUGUGCAAGCGCACGCUCAACAUCGUGAAGAAACUUAGCGAUAAGAUUGCGGACAAGCUGCGAAUCUACCUCAGCAAGGCAGACGAAGCCGGGAGGGAGAUGGACAGACAGAAUUACCACAACAAUUGGCGACGAGGAUGGGACGCUAACUCCGCUUACUGAUCGUUCCUGAGGAGACCGAGGUUAACUGCACACAGGGUCUACAGUAGACGCGGCUCAGGGUAACCACACUCAGAUUAAGCGCAGAAGAAAGGGACCCGCCUCGGACUGGCAGGGAGCGUCAGUGAGUGUAUACAGUGGUUCCUCCUUUAAAAGUUGCAAACUUAUACCGCGGGACUUAGAGGUACCCAGCAUCAUGGCAUCAUUGCUCCAGACCACCACAAGGAGGAGUUACAGCACUCAUUAUGCAUUUUGGUCCCAAGGUUUUUAUAUGACCAAUCAUAUAGAGGGGUUUCGUUUACGAAUUUGACGCGAGCUACCCGUCCCUGGUGACUUUCUUCAGCAAAGAUGGCUAACAUAACAUUACGGGGGAAGCAAGUGUAAGUAAUUUCAACAUCAUAACGAGUCAAGCAAAAAAUUUACAAUUAAGAGGAAUAUUUUAGUUCAUGUAGAGACAAACGAUUGUGCAUAUUUUUUGGUCAUAAAGUUAAUUUACGAAAAUCGCUAUUUAGCAAGUUAGCUGACUAGCUAACAUUAGCCAGCUAGUUAGCUGGUGUUAUGACAUGAGUAUGACAUUCUAAUUCUAAUGUUUUAGGGACUCCUGAGAAAACCAGCAAACCAGGCUGUCGUCAUGGGACACAGUGGAUGUAAAGAAUCCAGCUAGCUAAAGCAUUUACUGCAAAUUGAAUGUACAAUUGUGUAAGCUUGCCUUGCCGUGCAAUGCAGCUGAUGUAACAUAGUUAGCUAACUAUUUAACGGUAACUAACUCACUUUUGUACAUCGCACUGGUCCGUACAAUUUACCUUAUUUUAGCGUCCAAAAAACUUAAUACUUCCAGAUCAACUGUAAUAUCAAUACUAUUGUAAAGCACAAUUUCUCCCCUUUCCAACAAAACCAAUGAUGAGACCUUUAUGAUGCCCAUCUCUGCAUGAUUCAAGAAGGCAAUGAGCUCCGUCGGGUCUUUUUAAAAAUGGCAGGUGGGGAAGCGAAACCUACUGCGUGAUAGUGAAAGGGAGAGAAAUGUAAUGUGGGGAAAUGGCUUUUUUCACCAGAUUUGUCCAACUUAUCACCUUAUCACCUCUAAUAUGUAAAUAAAACACUAUAAAGAAUUUAUAUAAUUUGUUAUUCCAUACCUAUUUGAAGGUUUGUGUCGAAUUUGAAUCAGGUUUUUAGGGCGGCGCUAAAGUUAUCUUCAGAAGUAAACAGCGGCUUUUGAGAGUCAUGAUGGCUUGCAGUUAUGACGCAAAAAUGACUAGGUAACGUUAUCCCCCUUACCCUGUCCCUUUCUUAUUUUUAAACGGUGAGAGAAGCGCUACACCUGGUGGAGAGAGGCUGUAAGACACAGAAUUAGUUGCUUUAUGUGUGCUGUACGUUACGUCAUGACACGACACAAUUUAACGUACAGCGUCGGAGGGGUCAGUUUUUUUCAACUUUUCUCCAAUACUAUUGAUCCAUUACCAUGUCAAUCAACGCAUGAAUAGAAACGUAGUUCACAUCCUAGAUUUGGAUGUCAACACAGUCGCUGCAGUCCCAUUAGUUUUCAUUGCAGCCUCGUUUGAAUGUCGUGGUUGCGUAAAUUUGUACGGAAUGGGGUUAGUCACCAUUACUUGCUUACUGUGUUGUGGAGGAUAAGAAUAAUUGUAUGCCUAUGGAUGUGUAGUUAGCUACAGUAUGUAGCCGAUCUGUGUAUGGACCCUAAAAUGUUAGGUUCUGAACUAAUAUUCAUAUCUAUCUAUGAACCUCAGCUAUCAUAGUUUUUGCAUCAACUUCAAGUCUGAAUGGCAUUAAUGAAGCCUAUGGAUUGAGUAGAAUAUAAUAACUGUAUUGUGCCAAGGAUGCAAGUCGUAUAUACAUGUACUGUAGUUAUUACCACGCAUGAGAUCCCCACAUUGUAGCCUGUACAUUGAAUAUAUUCACUGAUCAUGUACUCUUCCUUGGCAAUUAAAGGUGCAGUUCAGGUAUGAAUCUCUGUGAGACAUUCUUUUUCAGUCAUAUCCAAUACCAGAUGUAUCAAACUCCAUUAUUUGAAUGAUGCUGUGUCUGCAUGUAUGUACUACAAUUAUACACUUCAACAGUGUUUACCACUCCUUGUCACGACUUCUGCCGAAGUCGAUGCCUCUCCUUGUUCGGGCGGUAGAGAGAGUUAACCAGGAUGUGGGUAGGUUUGUGGUCUGGCUCUCGACCCGAAACCUGCCCGUCCGCCUGCCUUGCCGGAAGCUGGGCCUGCGGUUUGUGGGGCCAUUUAAAGUCCUGAGGUGAGUGAACGAGGUAUGUUAUAGGUUACAGCUUCCCCCCAAUUACCGUAUUAACCCCUCGUUCCAUGUGUCUCUCCUCGGGCCGGUGGUGGCUGGCCCGCUCCAGGAGGCUGAGGUGCGGGAGGUUCCUCCACCCCCUCUGGAUAUUGAGGGGGUCCCGGCAUACUCCGUUCGAUCCAUCCUGGAUUCGAGACGUCGGGCGAUGGGCCUUCAGUACCUUGUGGACUGGGAGGGGUAGGGUCCGGAGGAGAGAUGCUGGGUUCCGGUGGAGGACGUGUUAGAUCCUUCCCUGCUACGAGACUUCCACCGUCUCCAUCCGGAGUCGAUUCCUCUCCUUGUUCGGGCGGUGCUCGGCGAUCGACGUCACCGGUCUUCUAGCCAUCAUUGAUCUAUGUUUCAUUUUCCAUUGGUUUUGUCUGGUCUUCUUACACACCUGGUUCCAAUCCCAUUCAUUAAUUGUUGUGUAUUUAACCCUCUGUUUCCCCUCAUGUCCCUGACAGAGAUUGUUUAUUGUUAUGUUCAGGUUCUAUGGAUUGGUGUGCGACUGGUUCUUGUACUCACAUUUAUUUUAUCAUGGACUUUGGUUUUGGAGUUUGUUUUAAGUUAUUAAAAUAUUCCAUUUAUACCUAG